rnacentral:rRNA from 1 species
GACAGAGGCCUCAAGCGUUAGGCGGAAUCACUGGGCUUAAAGCGUGUGUAGGCGGAUCGUUAAGUGUCUUGUGAAAUCCCACGGCUCACCCGUGGAACGGCUGGGCAUACUGGCGAUCUUGGGCCAACUAGGGGCAACUGGAACAAGCGGUGGAGCGGUGAAAUGCGUAGAUAUCGCUUGGAACGCCAAAGGUGAAAACAGGUUGCUGGGGUUGUGCCGACGCUGAGACACGAAAGCCCAGGGGAGCAAACGGG